UGGGGAAUUUUGGACAAUGGGCGAAAGCCUGAUCCAGCAAUGCCGCGUGUGUGAAGAAGGCCUUCGGGUUGUAAAGCACUUUUGUCCGGAAAGAAAUGGCUCUGGUUAAUACCUGGGGUCGAUGACGGUACCGGAAGAAUAAGGACCGGCUAACUACGUGCCAGCAGCCGCGGUAAUACGUAGGGUCCAAGCGUUAAUCGGAAUUACUGGGCGUAAAGCGUGCGCGGGCGGUUGUGCAAGACCGAUGUGAAAUCCCCGAGCUUAACUUGGGAAUUGCAUUGGUGACUGCACGGCUAGAGUGUGUCAGAGGGGGGUAGAAUUCCACGUGUAGCAGUGAAAUGCGUAGAGAUGUGGAGGAAUACCGAUGGCGAAGGCAGCCCCCUGGGAUAACACUGACGCUCAUGCACGAAAGCGUGGGGAGCAAACAGGAUUAGAUACCCUGGUAGUCCACGCCCUAAACGAUGUCAACUAGUUGUUGGGGAUUCAUUUCCUUAGUAACGUAGCUAACGCGUGAAGUUGACCGCCUGGGGAGUACGGUCGCAAGAUUAAAAGCUUAAA
rnacentral:rRNA from 1 species